rnacentral:rRNA from 1 species
CUUGAUUUUAGUUGCCAGCAUUUAGUUGGGCACUCUAAAGUGACUGCCGGUGCAAGCCGGAGGAAGGUGGGGAUGACGUCAAAUCAUCAUGCCCCUUAUGACCUGGGCUACACACGUGCUACAAUGGAUAAUACAAAGGGUUGCCAAACCGCGAGGUCGAGCUAAUCCCAUAAAAUUAUUCUCAGUUCGGAUUGUAGGCUGCAACUCGCCUACAUGAAGCCGGAAUCACUAGUAAUCGUGGAUCAGCAUGCCACGGUGAAUACGUUCCCGGGCCUUGUACACACCGCCCGUCACACCACGAGAGUUUGUAACACCCGAAGUCGGUAGGGUAACCUUUAUGGAGCCAGCCGCCGAAGGUGGGACAGAUAAUUGGGGUGAAGUCGUAACAAGGUAGCCGUAUCGGAAGGUGCGGCUGGAUCACCUCCUUUCUAAGGAA